rnacentral:rRNA from 1 species
CUUAUCUGGGGGAUAGCCCGGAGAAAUCCGGAUUAACACCGCAUAAAAUCACAGUAUUGCAUAAUACAAUGAUCAAAUAUUUAUAGGAUGGAGAUGGGCAUGCGUGUCAUUAGCUAGUUGGCGGGGUAACGGCCCACCAAGGCGACGAUGACUAGGGGAUCUGAGAGGAUGGCCCCCCACACUGGUACUGAGACACGGACCAGACUCCUACGGGAGGCAGCAGUAAGGAAUAUUGGUCAAUGGAGGCAACUCUGAACCAGCCAUGCCGCGUGCAGGAAGACUGCCCUAUGGGUUGUAAACUGCUUUUAUUCGGGAAUAAACCUAUUUACGUGUAAAUAGCUGAAUGUACCGAAGGAAUAAGGAUCGGCUAACUCCGUGCCAGCAGCCGCGGUAAUACGGAGGAUCCAAGCGUUAUCCGGAUUUAUUGGGUUUAAAGGGUGCGUAGGCGGCCUGUUAAGUCAGGGGUGAAAGA